rnacentral:pre_miRNA from 8 species
UCUCAAGGAUGAGCAAAGGAAGUAGUUUUUUUAGAUUCCAAAGAAACUACCUACUUUGCUCAUCUUUGAGAA